UACGUAGGGUGCGAGCGUUGUCCGGAAUUAUUGGGCGUAAAGAGCUCGUAGGCGGCUUGUCACGUCGGGUGUGAAAGCCCGGGGCUUAACCCCGGGUCUGCAUUCGAUACGGGCUAGCUAGAGUGUGGUAGGGGAGAUCGGAAUUCCUGGUGUAGCGGUGAAAUGCGCAGAUAUCAGGAGGAGCACCGGUGGCGAAGGCGGAUCUCUGGGCCAUUACUGACGCUGAGGAGCGAAAGCGUGGGGAGCGAACAGG
rnacentral:rRNA from 1 species